AUAAUUAUCGCUGUUGAAUUAUUACAUAACAGAAUUUAAAGAUUCUUAAACAAAAUGCUUUGUUACGCUAUUGGUAGCGUAUAAAAAAACAAGAUAAUUUAUUUUUUUCUUGCGCAAGAAAUCAUAAAAAUCAUUACAAAUCAUCAACACUUUGCAGCAAUAAUAAUCUUAAUAAUCUAUAUCUACUAUUUUUUUAUUUUGAUUUUUAAAUUUCGCUAAGAAACAUUAAAAAAUUAGAAAUAAUUAUAUAAUAAUAAAAUACAUUAAAGAAAUUUACAGCAAAUAAUAAAUAUUUAAAGAAUAAUUUAUUAAAAAUAUAUAUAUAUAUAUAUAUAUAUAUAUAUUUAUUAAAAAUUUUAGUGAAUCUUUAUUUGAGAAGCAUAUUACCUAAAAAUUUUGAAUAUAUAAAUUUAUUCGCAAAGAUUUUUCUCAAAUUUAUUCCUUUAUCGAAGUGAGUAUAAAAGCAAAGCGUAAAAGAUAUAAUUUUUACAUUUCACUAACAAUAAGAGUAAAUAAAGCGGUUAGAUAUAAUCUCAGAUUAUUUCUAUCAAGUAACAAAGAGAGCGUUGUACUUUUCCGAGCGUAAGUUUGGUUUUACCGGCGAGCUGUUUUACGUGCUCGUUCGAGAGUCGUAUGUCUUGUGACGUCACGAGAUUGUGGCAACAUUGCGAAAAAUCAUGCAGCGUUGUCAGACUUCUCCAUGUGCCGGAAAUUCAAAGCCUUCUUUCCUUACUAUGUAGAUUUGUAUAAGUUAUUUAUUUCUCAAAUAUUCAAUGAUUUAAAUAAAGACUUUAUUAUUCUCGUACAUACAUAUACAUUUUUUAUAUUUUUUAAUCGGUUUUAAUUAAUUUGAAAAAUGUAUCAAUCAAAAGAAACUCAUCGUAGUUUUAUAAUGAAAGUAUCUUCAGUAUAAUUCGAUUGUAAAGAACAGUACGUUGCUCAGAACGGAUAAUAUCAUUUUGUCACGUCACAAUAUACGCUAGCCAGAGAAAAUCAAUCCGACGCUUCUCUACUAACCUUUUGCCUGAAAAGCGUCGCGUUCGUUACUAUCCAAAUCAAAAACACUAGGUUCUUCAAAGGUCCAUUGCGAUAUUGACCCGAGGUUGCGUUAGGUUAUUUCUGCUAAGGUUCAUGUACCUUUUCAGAUGAACAUUCAAAUUUUUGUAAGUGUAUUUUUAGUUUUUUUCUCUAUAUAAUAUGUAUUACACGUAUAUUACAAAAAAUAUUAUUUUGUAAAUCAUCUGACUGUCCUUGACCUCAUUGGUAGUCCAAAUAGUUAAUAUUAUGUAUUGUAUACAUAUAUAAAUGUUUGGCCCUGGCUGUUUUAAUUUUAUAACUGUUUAAUUGUGAAAUUAAUAAAUAAAAGAAAUGUUUCUUAGAUUAAUAUAAUAUUUAAAAUAAAAUUAAGAUUUGUAGAUUUCUAAAUAUAUAUUUUAUAUACAAAUACAAUUUUGUAGCUAUUCUUUGCGAAGGAUAUUAAAUUUUAUUCAAAUAUUUAAUACAAUUAUGAUUUAAUUAAUAAAAUAACAAAUUUUAUCUAAUUAUUAAAUCUAAAUAUUUCUAUUUCCAAUAGAAGAAUAUAAGAAAAAUAUGCUUAAUUUUUUUUUAUCAAUGGGUCAAAUCAAAAUGGCAACGACCCAGAGAGUUCGCGUGACGAGAAAUCGUCAGGAAUACGAACAAUCCUUUAAAUCAACCCCCAUACAGUGUUUACCGUUCGAAAUGGACCAAGGGAAGAGGAUAUGCGCGCGAUAUACGACCUAAUUCAGUACCCUACUGAUAACGAUGACGUCACGAUAGCUCGUCUACUUGUUACUAGUCACGGACGCUACGUGACACGAGACUAAACUGUAGAGAUGAGCAGGAUGAUAAUGGUGCUACUCUAUAUUACGUUAUGUGUUACGUUAUUCCUCGUGACACAACAUGCAGUCAAUUUAUUCUCUCGUUAAUAUUUUAUUAUCCAUUCGAUUCGUUUGACAAAAAUAUGAUGUUAAUUACCAUUCAGCAUGAGCUUUCAGUAUUCCGUUUUCAUGAUUUAUUUUAUCCUUAGUUUCUAUGUUUAUAUAUAAGAAUAAAACUUUUGAAAGUAAUAAGCUAAAUAACUAGCAUCGAUUUAAGUCGAAGACACGCGAAACGUGAGAAAAUGAAAGUAGCGGCGGGUUGCUUUUAAAUCGAUCAACCAACAGCAAUAAGAGUCGCCAAGAGAACGGGGACCAGUUGUCUCUCUAUCGUCGUUCUUUCGUUGGCAUCACAAGAUUGCGCGAUGAUGUCAUGUAUUCGGCCGAGUUUAUGCGUGUUUGUAAACAGGCAGAGAGAAAAAGAGAAAUAGUUCAGAAAGAUGAACAAGGAUGGAAUAAGGAGUGGGAGUAAACAUGAAGGAGAAAGGGGAAACGAGAAAGAAGCGAGAGGGGAGAAAAAGUGCCUUGUGUCAGGCACCUUGCCGUUCUGACUGCGCAGCAUCUCGCUUAUUUCUCGUACGCCUUCGUCGAGGUUCCCUACGCAGCGUCGCUCAUCUCGUUUUCUCGUACACGAGCGUGACGUCAUGCUGCAAGUUGCAUAGGAGUAACUGAACGAGGAAAGGGGACCAGAGGGGAGCAGUUACGUGGGGAUAUAGAACGAGCAAACGUGCGCGCGCGCACCAGAAAACCGCAGCGUCGAUGGAUUUGCUGUUACCUGCAUGGAGUGGCUGCAUGCAGAAUACACGCGAGGUGACAUCGUCCUAUUGCAAAGGCGACAGCGGGGCAAUGCCACGAAUCGUGGCCCACGACGGAGACGAUAUAUAUCGACGAUAUCUAUGCGCAUAUUGUACCGGACGGUUAAUGGCGUGAUGGCGUGACAUCGGUGCACAUUGCACACGUACACUGCGAAUGAGACGAACGGAAUGGAACGGAACGGAACGGAACGGAAUGGAACGGGAUGGAACAGAAUGGAAUGGAACGGAACGAAAUGAAACGAAAUGAAAGACCGGAACGCGAUGUCGCGUGUCCUAUGUUGCAUUCGCGUGUGUCGCAAAUAUUAUACGCGAUUCUUCAAUUAAAUGCUUUAGUACAUGAAUAUAUUUGUAUAUCGUUUUGCUUCUUCGUUUUUCUUUCUAAAGUUUAACUCUUUAACUCUCACAAUCGCUAUAUGUGAUUAUUACUUUAUGCUAUAUUACGCGAGAUUAGACGAAUUUAUUAUACAUAAAAGCUAUACAAAGACUAUAAAUCUCAGAAAAAGAAUGUACAACAAUUAUUUUUUUGAUGUAUUGCAUUUUAUCUUAUAUAUAUUGAUUAAUGUAAGUAUUUAUGUACGAAGAAAAAAACCACAGUCAGUGUGAAAAAUGAAUAUUUUUAAUUUCCAUAUAAUACAUAUUGUGCAAAUGUAUAAUCUAAAAAAAAAAACAUUUAACAGCUAUUGAAUGAAAUGGAUAAAACAUUGUGUAUAUUCUUUUAUCAAAAACUCGUGAAAAAACAUUUUAUAAUGAAGUGAUUAUAUUUUUUACAGAAAGAAAUAAAGAAAUAACAGAAAAAAACAAAAA